rnacentral:rRNA from 1 species
UACAGAGGUCUCAAGCGUUGUUCGGAUUCAUUGGGCGUAAAGGGUGCGUAGGCGGCGCGGUAAGUCGGGUGUGAAAUCUUGGAGCUUAACUCCGAAACUGCAUUCGAUACUGCCGUGCUUGAGGACUGGAGAGGAGACUGGAAUUUACGGUGUAGCGGUGAAAUGCGUAGAUAUCGUAAGGAAGACCAGUGGCGAAGGCGGGUCUCUGGACAGUUCCUGACGCUGAAGCACGGAAGGCCAGGGGAGCAAAACGGG